CCUUCUCAUGGCCGAAUGAUUUUCCAUUAUACGCACAGAGCACCUUUGGGUGACCCGUUCACGCUUUGCGGGACACUCCAGAGCAUUUCCGGGUUUGGGCUAUGGGCCAUCUUCAGCUCAGACCGGGUCCGGCCAACGAACAACACCAUGGCACGUAACACCAGCGCCCCUCUCCCAGGAUGGCAUCAAUCCCCCUCAGCAGCCUCUGAUCCAGGUUGUUGAAUCACUUCCAGCCCACUGGACCCAACCCACACACAGGCAGAAGAAGGGAUGUAAUCAACUGAAGCAAACACCAGUGACACUGAAAAAACAGAGAGUAACUAUUC